CCUACGGGUGGCAGCAGUGGGGAAUAUUGCACAAUGGGGGGAACCCUGAUGCAGCAACGCCGCGUGGGUGAAGAAGUACUCCGGUAUGUAAAGCCCUGUCAGCAGGGAAGAAAAUGACGGUACCUGACCAAGAAGCCCCGGCUAACUACGUGCCCGCCGCCGCGGUAAUACGUAGGGGGCAAGCGUUAUCCGGAUUUACUGGGUGUAAAGGGAGCGUAGACGGCAAGGCAAGCCUGGAGUGAAAGCCCGGGGCCCAACCACGGGACUGCUUUGGAAACUGUGUUGCUGGAGUGCAGGAGGGGUAAGCGGAAUUCCUAGUGUAGCGGUGAAAUGCGUAGAUAUUAGGAGGAACACCGGUGGCGAAGGCGGCUUACUGGACUGUAACUGACGUUGAGGCUCGAAGGCGUGGGGAGCAAACAGGAUUAGAUACCCGAGUAGUC
rnacentral:rRNA from 1 species